UUGAUAUAAUUGUCAGUUGCAUCAACUUUAUAUAUCCACAUGUAUUUUAUUUUAUAUUGAAGGUGUUGACAACAUAAGAAUGUCUGAGAUUGUACUUGGAGAAGUUUGACUACAGACAAUCUGGCCAGCCUACACCAUCAUCUCCAGGGUCUCGGUCCUUGCUUGUAAAGAGAUGGGAGAAAUACUUGAAAGAGUGCGAUGACCAGUCCACUGUCAGUAUGGACAGCUCUGACUCGGAUUGUACUAGUGGAAAAGUUGAUGAUUCAGAAACUGACAAGACAGAAGACAUAUCAGUUCAAGGUAUUCAGGACAAGGUUCUUCAAGAG